AUUGAACGCUGGCGGCAGGCCUAACACAUGCAAGUCGAGCGAGCGGCGGACGGGUGAGUAAUGUCUGGGAAACUGCCUGAUGGAGGGGGAUAACUACUGGAAACGGUAGCUAAUACCGCAUACCAUCAGAUGUGCCAAGAUGGGAUUAGCUAGUAGGUGGGGUAACGGCUCCCCCAGGCGACGAUCCCUAGCUGGUCUGAGAGGAUGACCAGCCACACUGUAACUGAGACACGUGCCAGAGUCCUACGCGAGGCAGCAGUGGGGAAUAUUGCACAAUGGGCGCAAGCCUGAUGCAGCCAUGCCGCGUGUAUGAAGAAGGCCUUCGGGUUGUAAAGUACUUUCAGCGGGGAGGCGUUACCCGCAGAAGAAGCACCGGCUAACUCCGUGCCAGCAGCCGCGGUAAUUC
rnacentral:rRNA from 1 species